AAUUGACGGGGGCCCGCACAAGCGGUGGAGCAUGUGGUUUAAUUCGAUGCAACGCGAAGAACCUUACCUGGUCUUGACAUCCACGGAAGUUUUCAGAGAUGAGAAUGUGCCUUCGGGAACCGUGAGACAGGUGCUGCAUGGCUGUCGUCAGCUCGUGUUGUGAAAUGUUGGGUUAAGUCCCGCAACGAGCGCAACCCUUAUCCUUUGUUGCCAGCGGUCCGGCCGGGAACUCAAAGGAGACUGCCAGUGAUAAACUGGAGGAAGGUGGGGAUGACGUCAAGUCAUCAUGGCCCUUACGACCAGGGCUACACACGUGCUACAAU
rnacentral:rRNA from 2 species